rnacentral:lncRNA from 1 species
GUGGACGGCCCGUGUGUGUUCCUAACACAGAAAUACAAACAGCACAGUCUGUAUGUUAAUGAUUUAAUGCUGUCUCCACCAGAGGCAUCACUGCCGAAGAAAGAUUGUCCACCCAACAUCUUUGGUAGUCAUCCUGGGAGGCAAAACUUUGGAGAUGAAAAGAAUAUAAGAUGCCAUUCAAAUCAGCAGCUCUGGAGAAAGAGGACUGAAUCAGUUCAUUCUGGGAACUAAGCUGAAUGGAGUCCAGAUCACCCUCCGUUUCCCAGCGUUGUGUCUUGUCUGUCUCUGUGGAUACUUAAUGUCCUUCACUAAUGUAUUUGGCUAGUCUGUUCUUGCUAGCACACCUGUAGACUAAUUUCUACAAAUUCAGAUCUUACAAAAAGCUGAGUCUUUAACUUCAUGCAAUGGCAGAGUUGUGACAUCUUAGACUCAUUUUCUCCCAAAUGGCUUUCUGCUGCCCUCAACUGGUAGUGAGUCAUCAAUGCAGUAAAUCUCUGCAUUCAUGCUAACCCCCAGCAUUGUUUGACUCUAAAGGAGAUGUAGAAAAAUUAUUAACCACAUUACAGAUGAUUUUUAUUACAGAGAAAAAAAUGGAACUCAGAGGUUUUUAAGGUGUCCACCUAUUAUUCUCUAUUUCCUCAUUUUCUACCCAGUUGCAUGUGAUACAUGAAGAAAAGUAUUUGGCCUUUUCUUCUUUCAAGUAUGUGUGUGUGCCAGAGUAUUUGGAAGGGCUGCUUAAUUAUCAAAUCAAGAUGCAUUUCAGCUGGUGUAAUACCUAGGAGAUAUUUCUGUAAUUAGUCAUAAGUGAUGUUAAGUAUUUUAUCUCUAAUGUUAUAAAGAGACAGAGAAUUAUAUAAGGACCAUAAA